rnacentral:rRNA from 1 species
CCUACGGGCGGCUGCAGUGGGGAAUUUUGGACAAUGGGGGCAACCCUGAUCCAGCCAUUCCGCGUGAGUGAAGAAGGCCUUCGGGUUGUAAAGCUCUUUCGGCCGGGAAGAAAUCGUGCGGGCCAAUACCCUGUAUGGAUGACGGUACCGGAAGAAGAAGCACCGGCUAACUACGUGCCAGCAGCCGCGGUAAUACGUAGGGUGCGAGCGUUAAUCGGAAUUACUGGGCGUAAAGGGUGCGCAGGGUGUUAAAUCCCCGGGCUUAACCUGGGAACUGCGCUUGUGACUGCAAGACUUGAGUGCGGCAGAGGGGGGUGGAAUUCCACGUGUAGCAGUGAAAUGCGUAGAGAUGUGGAGGAACACCGAUGGCGAAGGCAGCCCCCUGGGUCGACACUGACGCUCAUGCACGAAAGCGUGGGGAGCAAACAGGAUUAGAUACCCUAGUAGUC